CCUACGGGUGGCAGCAGUGAGGAAUAUUUGUCAAUGGACGAGAGUCUGAACCUGCCAAGUAGCGUGAAGGAUUACUGCCCUUUGGGUUGUAAACUUCUUUUAUAAAGGAAUAAAACGAGGCACGUGUGCCUUUUUGCAUGUACUUUAUGAAUACUGAUCGUCUAACUCCGUGCCAGCAGCCGCGGUAAUACUGAGGAUCCGAGCGUUUUCCGGAUUGAUUGGGUUUAAGGGGAGCGUAGAUGGGUUGGUAAGUCAGUUGUGAAAGGUCGGGGCUCAACCGUAAAAUUGCAAUUGAGACUGGCAGUCUGGAGUAAAGGUGAGGGAGGCGGAAUUCGUGGUGUAGCGGUGAAAUGCUUAGAUAUCACGAAGAACCCCGAUUGCGAAGGCAGCUUACUAAACUGUGACUGACAUUGAUGCUCGAAAGUGUGGGUAUCAAAAAGGAUUAGAUACCCCUGUAGUC
rnacentral:rRNA from 1 species